AUGCACGCUGGCGGCGUGCCUCAUCCAUGCCAGUCGAGCGCACAGACGAGGAGCUUGCUCCUCUGACGUUAGCGGCGGACGGGUGAGUAACACGUGGAUAACCUACCUAUAAGACUGGGAUAACUUCGGGAAACCGGAGCUAAUACCGGAUAAUAUAUUGAACCGCAUGGUUCAAUAGUGAAAGACGGUUUUGCUGUCACUUAUAGAUGGAUCCGCGCCGCAUUAGCUAGUUGGUAAGGUAACGGCUUACCAAGGCAACGAUGCGUAGCCGACCUGAGAGGGUGAUCGGCCACACUGGAACUGAGACACGGUCCAGACUCCUACGGGAGGCAGCAGUAGGGAAUCUUCCGCAAUGGGCGAAAGCCUGACGGAGCAACGCCGCGUGAGCGAUGAAGGUCUUCGGAUCGUAAAACUCUGUUAUUAGGGAAGAACAAAUGUGUAAGUAACUAUGCACGUCUUGACGGUACCUAAUCAGAAAGCCACGGCUAACUACGUG
rnacentral:rRNA from 1 species